GCGAGUGGCGGCUCCGCUCCAAUCACCGUCUCCGUCAGGAUGAAACCACAAAAGGAUGUACUGGUUCUGAAACACAAGGCACCAGUGAGUCUGCAUCCCUGGUCCACUAUCAAUAGCCUCAGGCUGCAGCUGGGUCCCACAAAUCCACAAAGCAUUCCUCUAAGAGAGAGUCCUAAUCUCACGUGUUGGUCUGAAAUGCCAUGGUGGUACUCACGCAUAAGCCUCAAAGUCCCCGUUAUUGACGGCCUCUAUCAGC